UGUUACCCCCAAUAAUAAUAAUAAUAAAAAUAAUGAAGAAGAAGAACCAAGCAAGACUGGCGUGUAAUUCCUCGUCUUUACCAUGUCGGUUGCGGAUUUAUUGCAUCUGGCCUAACAACUUUGUAGUUAUUUGUGGGUUUAUGCAUUUUUAUAUUUCAUUUUUGGUUGCAAUGUAAUUGCGCCGGAAUUCUAUUGUAUGUAUAUACUCUGCAUGAAUGUGGGUGCAGUGUGUUGGAAUUUCUUCACUGAGCAUUGAGGAGUGGAGGGCAGUGGUCAAAAUUUCAUCUUUUCCUGUUAAAAAUGGUGGGUGGCGGUGUUUCUCGCAAGAAGGUUACGAUAGGAGUGUGUGUUAUGGAAAAGAAGGUGAAAUGCGGCUCCGAGGCUUUUUCUGGGCCGAUGCUGCAGAUUUUGGAGAGGCUGCAGGCAUUUGGAGAAUUCGAUAUUGUGCAUUUUGGGGACAAGGUAAUCCUUGAAGAACCUAUUGAAAGAUGGCCUAUAUGUGACUGCUUGAUUGCCUUCUAUUCGACUGGGUAUCCUCUGGAGAAGGCUGAAGCAUAUGCUACUCUAAGAAAGCCUUUUCUUGUAAACGAACUGGGGGAACAACAUCUUCUUCAUGAUCGGAGGAGAGUGUAUGAGAGACUUGAAAUGUUUGGAAUUAAUGUUCCAAGAUAUGCCCUAGUGAACAGAGAGUUUCCCAAUCAAGAGCUGGAUUUUUUUGUUGAGGAGGAGGAUUUUGUUGAAGUUCACGGCAAUCGGUUCUGGAAGCCUUUUGUGGAAAAGCCAAUUCAUGGUGAUGAUCACAGUAUAAUGAUAUAUUACCCUAGUUCAGCUGGUGGGGGAAUGAAGGAAUUGUUUAGAAAGGUUGGUAAUCGGUCAAGUGAAUUUCAUCCAGAUGUGAGAAGAGUGAGACGUGAAGGGUCUUAUAUAUAUGAGGAAUUUAUGCCCACUGGAGGCACAGAUGUAAAGGUGUACACAGUGGGUCCCGAAUAUGCUCAUGCAGAGGCAAGGAAAUCUCCAGUGGUUGAUGGUGUAGUUAUGAGAAACCCUGAUGGUAAAGAAGUUAGAUAUCCUGUUCUGCUCACUCCUAUUGAGAAAGAAAUGGCUCGAGAGGUCUGCAUCGCAUUUAGGCAAGCUGUUUGUGGCUUCGAUCUCUUGCGCUGUGAGGGGCGUUCCUAUGUUUGUGAUGUCAAUGGAUGGAGCUUCGUCAAGAACUCUUACAAAUAUUAUGAUGAUGCUGCAUGUGUUCUGAGGAAAAUGUUUCUCGAUGCUAAAGCUCCACAUCUUUCAUCAACAAUUCCUCCAGUUCUACCUUGGAAGGUUAGCGAACCAACUCAGCCCACUGAUGGCCUAACACGUCAGGGAAGUGGGAUAAUCGGAACUUUUGGGCAGUCUGAAGAACUGCGUUGCGUGAUUGCCAUUGUUCGUCAUGGUGACAGAACUCCGAAACAGAAAGUGAAGUUGCGAGUUACUGAGGAAAAACUUUUGAAUUUGAUGUUGAAGUAUAACGGGGGGAAACCUAGAGCAGAGACAAAGCUCAAAACUGCUGUUCAACUGCAAGAUCUUUUGGAUGCGACACGAAUUUUAGUUCCUCGUGUUAGACCCGAUCAAGAGAGUGAUAGUGAAGCUGAAGACAUCGAGCAUGCUGAAAAGCUUCGGCUAGUGAAAGCCGUGCUUGAGGAGGGGGGGCAUUUCUCUGGCAUUUAUCGCAAAGUCCAACUUAAGCCAUUAAACUGGGUCAAAGUGGCGAAAGCAAAUGGCGAAGGGGAAGAGGAAAGGCCUACUGAGGCCCUCAUGAUUCUCAAAUACGGCGGUGUCCUUACGCAUGCUGGUAGAAAGCAGGCUGAAGAACUAGGACGGUAUUUCCGGAACAAUAUGUAUCCAGGUGAAGGUACGGGCCUGCUUCGCCUCCACAGUACAUAUCGCCAUGAUUUAAAGAUAUACAGCUCAGACGAAGGCCGCGUGCAGAUGUCUGCAGCUGCUUUUGCUAAAGGUCUUCUAGACUUGGAAGGGCAAUUGACACCGAUCUUGGUAGACUCUUCUAUGUUGGACGGAUUGGAAAAUGCCAGUUCCGAGAUGGUAGAAGCUAAGGCCAAACUAAACGAGAUUAUAACUUCUGAAAAUACGACCGAGAGCACUGACCCGCCAGAAGAAAAGCCUUGGAUGGUAGAUGGGUGUGGAGUUCCUCCAAAUGCGUCCCAACUUCUUCCCGAAAUUGUGAAGUUAACAAAGAAGCUCACUGAGCAAGUAAGACUUCUAGCCAAGGAUGAGAAUGAGGAGCUCGCUGGGAAGACCUCUUACGAUGUGAUUCUUCCGUACGAUCAAGCAAAGGCACUUGGCAAGACGAGUAUGGAUGUUGAUCGAAUCGCUGCUGGCUUACCUUGUGGCAGCGAGGGAUUUCUUCUCAUGCUUGCUCGGUGGAGAAAACUCGCGAUGGAUUUGUAUAACGAACGCAGAGAGCGGUUUGACAUUACACAAAUACCAGAUGUUUAUGACUCGAGCAAAUACGAUCUCUUGCACAAUGGACAUCUAAAAUUAGAAGGCCUAUACGAACUUUUCAAAGUGGCGCAGUUACUUGCAGAUGGUGUUAUUCCGAACGAGUAUGGAAUCAACCCAAAACAGAAAUUGAAAAUUGGAUCCAAGAUUGCUCGUCGUUUGUUGGGGAAGAUCUUGAUCGAUCUGCGAAACACGCGUGAAGAAGCGAUCAGCAUUGCCGAGUUGAAGAGCAGCCAAGAUAGCAAUGCAGAAGUCCCUAGCAUUGUAAGAGAAGAUUCAGAUAGUCAAAUAAAAUCUCAAAGUAAAAUCGAACUCGCGGCGAAAGGUAGUCUCAGCAGUGAGAAAUCCAUGGAUCAAGAUGAUGACGACGACAAAGAACCCAAGUACCGAUUGGACCCCAAAGUAAGUAUUUGCAUAGCGUUUUUGGUUUUUUGCAGAUUUAUUUUUCGAAUUUUAUGAUAUUGUAAGUUUUUGCUUUGCAAAAAUUGAAUUCUCAAUUCAAACUGUUUGAAACUGUGAUAGUUUUUCUUCCAAUGUAUGUAUGUUUACUUCCAUCAGGUAUGCAAAUGUAAGAACACCGGAACGACACGUGCGGACGCGCCUAUAUUUUACAUCGGAAUCCCAUAUCCAUUCCUUGAUGAACGUCCUUCGCUACUGCAACAUGGACGAGUCUCUCCAAGGAGAACCGAGUCUCGUGUGUGACAGCACCUUGGAGCGCUUGUGUCGGACAAAGGAGCUUGACUACAUGAGUUACAUUGUGUUCAGGUUAUUUGAGAACACAGAGGUGGCAUUGGAAGAUCCAAAAAGAUUCCGCGUGGAAAUGACCUUUAGCCGAGGUGCAGACUUAUCCCCUUUGGAGCAAAAUGAUGACACGUCUUCGUGGCAUCAAGAGCACACGUUGGCCAUAAAUGGCCCUGAGCGGCUGCAAGAAGUGGGAUCAUACUUGACAUUCGAGAGGAUGGAGAGGAUGAUCCGGCCCUUCGCAAUGCCAGCAGAAGAUUUCCCUCCUCCCACGAUUCCUCAAGGAUUCUCCGGCUACUUCUCCAAGAGCGCGGCUGUUUUGGAACGCCUCGUUAAUCUUUGGCCCUUCAACAGGAACUCAUCACACACCAACGGGAAGUAGUCAAGUCACAUAAUCCUUCCAUUCUGCCCAUCAAGAUCGAGUCUUUCGCCUUUUUUCGCUCGAUAAAAUUGCUGCAUUUUUGUCCAUUCAUGUGGGUGGUGGUUCAAAUGAUGAGAUCCUUGAUCAUGUUUGUGUUUUGCUAGAUUCAUGGUGACAGUUUUGAGACUGAGAAGAAAGGGUUGUUUAUUUGUUUUUUCUUUGGUGCAAGAUUUUGUUGGUAGAUUGUGGUGGGCCUGUAAAUGGUGAAUUUGAGCCCAACAAAAUGUUUUUGUAGGCCCCUUUUGUUUGAAGCCUACCAUAUAUAUAAUCAUAGGAAAUUUUAGGUUUCUCUAGAAUCUUAGUGGGCCUAUUUUCUCCUAGACAUUUUGUUGUUGGACAUAAAUGGGUUGCAACAGUGACUCGGCGAUGUCGACAUUUUGUUCUAUUUUCUCAA